AACGAACGCUGGCGGCAGGCUUAACACAUGCAAGUCGAACGCCCCGCAAGGGGAGUGGCGCCCGGGUGAGUAACGCGUGGAUAUCUGCCUUUUGGUUCGGAAUAACCCCGGGAAACUGGGGCUAAUACCGGAUUGUUCCUACGGGAUAAAGAUUUAUCGCCAAAAGAUGAGUCCGCGUACGAUUAGCUAGUUGGUGAGGUAAUGUCUCACCAAGGCGACGAUCGUUAGCUGGUCUGAGAGGACGAUCAGCCACACUGGGACUGAGACACGGCCCAGAAUCCUACGGGAGGCAGCAGUGGGGAAUAUUGGACAAUGGGGGCAACCCUGAUCCAGCCAUGCCGCGUGAGUGAUGAAGGCCUUCGGGUUGUAAAGCUCUUUUGGCGGGGACGAUGAUGACGGUACCCGCAGAAUAAGCCCCGGCUAACUUCGUG
rnacentral:rRNA from 1 species